UGCUUUCAAACACAGCCAAGGACCCACCCUACUUUGUGUUGGAACGCUGGAAUAGCCUUAGGAUUCAGAGAAAAUCCUUUCUGUGGCAUGAGCACUGUCACACGCCAGCCCUGACGCCUGCAGCUGAAUCGGCAGGCUGCACACCCCAGAACCUGCCACGAUGUUUGUCACCUGACGGCAUCUCUCGGCACUCAGGCUCAAUAAACCAUAGUCAUGGACUUGGAGAAACCACGUGGCUGGUCGGUAUAUACACUGAACAAAUCACCUCUUUUGGCCUCAUUUUCUUUGUAAACUAAAGCGGUCACGUCCAUCGUGAAAGAUGAAGGGGUUGAAUCUAACAUGGUCUGGCUCUGGGCCUCUUAAAAAGAUUCCAUCUGCCGAAGAAAGAUAACCCUCUUUGCCUUUAUUUUUAAAAACCUCCAGUGCGCAGGAUUCUACUUACUUCCAUACAAACCCGGUUACUAAUAUGCCUGACUGUCAGCAAGCUCUCUGCCUCCACCCCGGCUCUCUCUCCUGAUCACACAGUUGCCACUGGCUUUCAUCAGGUGUAAUAAGCCUUCGGGAAGCGCGGCGAGGGAAACGGAGAGCACAGAUUGCACAAGGGGGCUUCUCGCGCGUGUGCAGCACAGCAUCGCCCGCGCACUCUCGUGUCCUCCCAAAGCUGAGAAAAUCGAGGAUGCCAAGCGUAUGGAAAGACGUGCUGCUGCUGUCCAAAUGGGAAAGGCGGGUGGAGAAAAUCAUUUAGAAAAAGAGGCUGAGGGAAAAGAGAAAAUCAAGCCCAAUCCAACAGCUGCAAACAAGAAGCCCGGGAAACGGUUACCUUGGAUGAACUCGGAUUUCCUGCUCACAGAAGGCAGGGUCCGGUUGAGUCCCAGGAUCCUGUCCAGGUGGAAGGCAAACACCUCGCUCAUGUCCAGAGGCUGCUUGAGCAGCCCGCAGGGGCUGGGUCCGCAGGCGGGCCCCGCGGGCCGGCCUGUCCCCUGCAACACCAGCAGGCGCGCUCUGCUCCUGGGCCAGGCCGGCUGGAGACCCGCCACCGUGCCGUCGGCCAGCAGGCGCAUCCGGCCGAUGUCUUCUCCGCUCAGCCACGACGGGGCGCUCUCGCUGUAGAUCCUGAUGUUGCUUCCCUCGGCCCGGGGCAGCUGCGCAUCUGCGUCCCCACCUUGCGCUCCCACACCCUGCAUCCACCCCCAGGGUCGCUCCCCAGCCUUGGCCAGGUUUCCUCCCCGGACGUGCCCGGGCACUUCAGCAUCAGCUGCCCUUGCAGCUUCCUGAGGCCGAAGGGACGGUCCGACCAAAGUCCCGGGUCCCGGGGCCUGAGAAGCCACCGCAUACUUCUUCCUGCGCUUGGGUUUCACGGUGCCACGGAUGCUGGCGGGCUUGCUGCGCUUGGAGCGCAAGGUGUCUACGUGGUCUUCAGUGGGUCGAGGAGGAAGUUAAGGGCUGGUGAUGGAGCCGGGCAGGCUUCUGACACUGGCCACAGCAGACCUUCUAAACCCCGACAGCCUCCCCGAGGAGAAGUCUGGCUAGUUCCUGGGAAUGAAUGGAAACAGAGCGAACUGAGUCACAGUCUCAAACUCGUCAGCUGAAAGAAGAGAACCAAAAGCCCUCUAGCUCUACUUUUUCACAUUAUUAAAAAGAAGAACUGGUAAAAAGCAACCUUACUUACACAGCUGGCCCCGUGCUUGGCCCCAGGAAGAAUGCAAUCCCUGACUCUAAUGCAAAGAACUAUUAAAGGCUGAGGCAUGUGUCAUGUUGCCUCCCUCUUACCCUGUGAAUCCAUCAACUGGAAACACUGUUGAAGAAAAACCACACGUUCACACCAACAAGCAAGUGAAGAGGCCAUCAUUGAGAAUCACGUGCAGGUGAUGAAGCCCAGAAGGCAGAAGCUGCUCUGCUGAGAGACCCAGCAGGAGCAGAACCACUUCAAGGCCCAGAGGACAUCAUGGUGAGGAGAGACUUCCUCCGAGCUUCUUCUAGAACUAACGGUGCCCAGCACCUCGGGAGCUGCAGCAUCAUGAGCACAGUGGUGGUGCCACAUCCAUCAGUCACGGCAGCAAGAGGUCUUCUUCUGACGACUGUGAUGCUGAGAAUUAGGAAAAAAUCAGAAGGGAAUGUACACAAGCCUCCAGCACAUCUUCGCCACCUCCUGAAGCGGCACAUGUGUACUUGUUCCUGUGUAUGACCUUCCUGUGCAUCCAACAAGGAGGCUUCCCUCGGCUCUGCACUAGGAUCCCAUCUGCUUGCACCCACACAAGGGCAUUGUUCCAGGAAUUCUCUCCUUUCUUUUCCCUGGUGGCCCACCCUCAAGACAGCCCUGGAUGAUCCUCAGUGCUUGGUACCUGCACCGUGAUGCAGUCCCCUCUCACACUGAGUCAGGGAUGGACUGUAUAACCAGCAGAAUUCUGCAGAAGCCCCAGUGUGUGACUUCAGCUGCCAGGUCAUAAAAGACAAUGGCACCUCUGCCUUCUGGGAGUUCUCACUGUGGGGAAGCCACACCAUGACAUGGGGAUACUCAUGCAGUCCUCUGAUGAGGCCCGUGAAGGGAAACUGAGGUCUCCCCCCAAGCAGUGAGGGCCAACAUGCCUGGCCCAUAAGCAAACCUCCUCAGAGGUGGCACCUCCAGCCCGUCCACAUCUUCAGAUGCCUGGAACCAUGGCCAGCAUCUCCAUGCAGUUUUGGGGGAGACUCUGAGUGAGAACCCCACCCAAGAUGCUCCCAAAUUCCUGACCCACAGAAACUGUGAGAGAGGACAGAUGUCCAGUGUCCCCCAAGGCAUUGCAUUUGGGAUAAUUUGUUACACAGCAAUAGAUAACUAAUACAUCUCCUGUGAUCACAGGACUUGAGCUGCUCCCCAUCUUUCCCAGAGGAAAAUCCAGAGUCCCCUGUAGGCCUUAUGAGGCCCCUCCCAUCCUGUUCACCCCAUUCUCACCACCCCAGGUCCACCCACGGUGACCUCCUUCUCUUCCUCAGAGUCCUGAGAUGGGCCUCAGGGCUUCUGUCCUCACUGUUCCCUCUCCCCUCCCCCCCCAGCCAUCCCUCAAUGUCUCCCUCUCUGGGAGGCCUUCCCUGAUGACCCUUCCAGAAACACAGCUUCCCACAUACAACCACACCCACAUCCACACACAUUUGUCUUUCUCCCUCCUUUAUUUUUUCCUUAAUACAUCUUACUAUUUAAUAGACCACAUGUACUGUUUAUGAUCUGGCUGCCCUCAUAGCUGAGAGCUGAGCUGGUAUAGGGAUUGUUGUCUGUCCCCAGUGUCUAUAACACUGCCCAGUUUACUGUACAUCCACCAUAAAGAUGUCUUGGAUGAAUGCAUGAAUGUUGAGGAUGCAAGGAUGCAAAAUUAAUAGUACCUUAAAAAUGCCUGACAUAGGCCUUUGUGAUCUGACUCCAUUUAUAAACCUACCUCUAAAAUUUACCACUAGUUUAUAUAGCAAAUACACAGGUCCUUAGAAUCUGCACCUUUUGUUUCAUCUUGAUUUUCUUCUAAGUUCUCUGUUUUUUAACUUUUAUUCCUAUUAUUAUGUCCUCAUUCUACACUGCUUCAAAGACUUCAUGAAAUUAAUAUAAAUAAAUGAAAGUAAGUAAAUAAUGUUAGUGUUCUCAGAAUAGGUGAUUAAAACUAUCACUGGUUCAGUACAUUAGAGAAUUGUAAACAUUUUAAGAAAUAAAGAUCUAAUUUUUUGUGAACCCUAUUUUUAAAAGUCAGCAAAAGGUAAUAGUUUUAUUUUUCAUUGAGGUAAACUUUAUUGUGAAAUAGUUUACAUGAAAAAUAAACUUUGGAUCAGGACAGGAACAUUUAUAUUUAACAUUUUGCCUCAUCAAUUCUCAGUAUCACAGUGUAUUUUUUCUAAUGUCAGGUUAUUCUUGGAAAAUUUCAUUUGCUUUCUGGAUAUAAUAAAACUCUUCUUGAAAAUUA